rnacentral:tRNA from 1 species
GCGGUUGUCAUAUAACGGCUAUUAUCCGGGCUUCCCAAGCCCGUGACGCGGGUUCGACUCCCGUCAACCGCU